rnacentral:rRNA from 1 species
AGAGUUUGAUCAUGGCUCAGAACGAACGUUAGCGGCGCGCCUAAGACAUGCAAGUCGAGCGAGAAAGGGAUUCGUCCCCGGUAAAGCGGCGCACGGGUGAGUAACACGUAGGUAAUCAACCCUCGAGUGGUGGAUAACUCUCCGAAAGGAGAGCUAAUACAGCAUGAAGCUAGCAAUAGCCAAAGCGGGCCUCUUCAUGAAAGCUCGCGCUAGAGGAUGAGCCUGCGGCCCAUCAGGUAGUUGGCGGGGUAAUGGCCCACCAAGCCAUAGACGGGUAGCUGGUCUGAGAGGAUGAACAGCCACACUGGAACUGAGACACGGUCCAGACUCCUACGGGAGGCAGCAGUCGGGAAUCUUCCGCAAUGGGCGAAAGCCUGACGGAGCGACGCCGCGUGAGCGAUGAAGGCCUUCGGGUUGUAAAGCUCUGUGGGGAGAGAAGAAUAAGUUCAGGCGAAUACCCUGAAUGAUGACGGUAUCUCCUUAGCAAGCACCGGCUAACUCUGUGCCAGCAGCCGCGGUAAGACAGAGGGUGCAAACGUUGUUCGGAUUUACUGGGCGUAAAGCGUGUGUAGGCGGCUUCGCAAGUUGGAUGUGAAAUCCCACGGCUCAACCGUGGACGUGCAUCCAAAACUGCGUCGCUAGAGUCUCGGAGAGGAAGGUGGAAUGCUUGGUGUAGAGGUGAAAUUCGUAGAUAUCAAGC